CAGGGAAUAGUUUAAUUUUAAAAUAUUAAUUUUGGAGGUUAAUGAUGAGUUUGUUCUUUUCUCUGA
rnacentral:tRNA from 1 species